UGACAGGCGGCAGGAGCGAGAAUGUUGGAAACUGAACACCAGAAAGUCAUUGUGGACUGAAGGGAGGCUGGAUCGCGUUCAUCAGCUGUGCGCUCCGGGUCUCGGUCUGCUCCUGCUGUCAGCUUUUCACAGGCAGAGAAGCGUAUGUUAUUACUCGCUGAGGGAAAACCACAUUUUGCAUGCGGCGUUAUCGGCUCUGCAGGCCCACAGAAGCACGGGAAGACUGGAGGAAUAAAGUUUGGGGAGCGCACGGGUCUUUUGGAGUUGAAUGUGUGAGCCCAGUCCACCUGCUUUACAUCCCCAUGCCAAGGGCAAUGUGACCAUGGUUGGUGUUGGUAUCAAGCUUGAAGACGAUGAGUCGGGAGGUCGAAUAGUCAAUCGGGAAUCCCAGCAGUCCUCUCCGCUCUCCGAUUGGUCGGCUCGACUGCCCUCCGACAGAGAUGACUCUGAGAAGUCAGCGAAUGUUCAUGCACAAUCUCCUUUGGAGCGUUCUCCGAGUAAAGACCUGCUACUGUCACACUCUCCUGCCAGUCAAGAUGGAGGCGGCAGAGCCCAUGAUAAGAUUGAGAGCAAACCUAAUGUCAAUGAGGUGAUGCCCACUAUUGAAAAGCUUCUGAAUACAGACUGGAAAGAAAAGUUCCUUGGGAAGGGUCUUCAAGGCAAUGUCAACCUAAAAGGAACCCCAGAGAGUUUGGCAGAGAAAGAGCUUCAGUUGUUGCUGAUGAUAAACCAGCUCUCUGGUCUGCGCGAGCAGCUGUUAGGAGCUCAUUCAGAGCAGAGGAACAUGGCAGCUCUUCUGCUGGAGAAACAGCAGCAACAGAUGGAACUGGCAAGACAGCAGCAAGAACAGAUUGCAAAGCAGCAGCAGCAGCUCAUACAGCAGCAACAUAAAAUCAACUUGCUGCAGCAGCAGAUUCAGGUAAACAUGCCAUAUGUUAUGAUCCCUGCCUUUCACCCCAAUGCCCAGCCAUUGCCGGUCACCUCUGAAGCCCAGAUGGGUUUACCUCUGCAGCCCAUUCCCUGCAAACCAGUGGAAUACCCCAUGCAGUUGCUGCCCAAUCCACACUCCACCCCUGUCAAAAGGUCCAGUGGUACAGUCUAUCGCCAGGACACCAGCCAACCUCUCAACCUCACCGCUAAACCCAAGACCCCAAGUCCUCAGGCUCUGGAACUGGCACAUUUGCAGUCAGGGUAUCGACACAGAGAUUUGCCCCAAAGCCCUCCUCGAUCUGCUCUCAGCCUGAGCUUCUUGGGAGAGGGUGAUGUUGUGACACAAGCCAUUCAUGAUGCCCAGCAGCUGUUGCGUGGAGGACAGAGCUCAACGGGCCGAGAGAGGGACAACAACACAAGGCUGGAGGCAUCUCGAGACCGGAUGGAUGAUGGUCAUAGUCGGACAAAUGAAGACCACCACAGCAGUGAUUCUGAGGGGCAGAUGGCAAUCUCUGGGGUGGGAAGCUUUGGUGAAUCCCGAACUCCCUCUUCUGGCCACAUCAAACGUCCCAUGAACGCCUUCAUGGUGUGGGCCAAAGACGAAAGGCGACGUAUCCUGCAGGCGUUCCCUGACAUGCACAACUCCAGUAUCAGCAAGAUCCUCGGUUCCCGGUGGAAGUCCAUGUCCAAUCAGGAGAAGCAGCCGUACUAUGAGGAGCAGGCCAGAUUGAGUCGGCAACACCUGGAACGUUACCCAGAUUACAAAUACAAACCAAGGCCAAAGCGCACCUGUAUUGUAGAGGGUAGACGACUGCGGGUGGGAGAGUACAAGGCCAUGAUGAAGAGCCGAAGACAGGAGCAACGAGUAUCAUACCCUCCAAGUCAAUCAGAGCAGCAGUUGCCGUACCCACCCAGUGAAGGACAGUACCCUACCACACCUGUGUCCAUGAGCACCCUGCCCCUGCACCCUGCCCUCCUGGAGCACUACCUGCCACGGGGUCUGGAGCCUCCGCAGGGUCGAGUCAGCGAGACGAGGGAGAGCGCCAGGCCAAGACAACCCUACAGUGAAGGAGAGGAGAGCGACGCUGGAGAACGCAGUGAAGGAGAGCUCGUCGUCCUCACCGACUGAGAAGAAACAACAGAAAAACCAUUGGAGGACAGAUAAUAACGGUGGUGUCCAAAUAAUGGUGUAGCUCAGUGUUUUCCAGUCCAGUUAUGAAGCUGUCCUUGCAAGCAGGUUUUAACUCUACCUGAUAGGUCAUUUUCAGAUUGUAAGGAAGACAGAAGGCACGUAUAGAGCUUAAUUUUGGGCAUGUUUAGACCAGGCAUCUAUGAAAUGUCUUGAUUAUAGUCUGCAGAACUUUUUCAGUCUGCAUUAUUCACUGUAUUUGCGUCAGAUCUUUCAGAACUGUGGCGCAGAGUAGUUUUUAAUUCAUUGAAUGCCACUGCGCUUAUCAUGAAGUAAAUGGCUAACACUUUAGUUUAGGUCACAAUUCAUGGUAUUAACAAACCAUUCGCUAACGCUACUAGCUUAAUGAACUGCUAAUUAGCUAUUUAUUAAUAGUUGGUAGGGUUGAAGUUGGGUUUAGGUUUAAGGUAGGAUUAGGGAUGCAGAAUCUGAUCAUCCUUGACCCUUUUGUGGGAUGUAAACAAAAUCAAUGGUCCCAACGUAUUUCCUGUUUUACAUUUUUAAUUUCUAUAGCCUCCGAAAAUCCAAAAAGAGCCACACAUUGAUAAAUAAUGCUAUGAUAGCUGUUUAACAUUAAGUUAUGAUGGAAUUGCCUUUUGUUACAGUUAUGAAACAUAGGGCUGGACGAUUAAACGAAAAGUAAUCAACAUUCAGAAUCUAUAAACGAUAAAUUUUUUCAACUACUUUCCGUGUGUAAAGUCACAGAACCCUACUCUGUUAACACUUCAGUGUUGAGCACAGAAUAUUGUCUGUUACAGCCGUCACGCGGUCGUAUACCCUUCGCCGUGACUGAUGCCGACGCUGAGCUCUCAAAAAAAUGUAACCCAUGUUGCCAGAUAUUGCUGACGUUUUCCAGCCCAAAAGCGGUCCAAAACUCACCAAAACACACAAAAAACCCAAAAUAUUAGAUUAUUAUUUAAUUUAAUUUUAAUUUAUUUAAAUCAAAAUGAACCUAGUUACUUUACUGUCAUGUUUUUUAACCUUACAGCAACCAACACCAGCAGUCACAGAACCACAACAUAAGCGGAUCACUUUGAAACACUUAUGUUAGAGGAUGUUUUACUUUCAUCCUAUUCGGCGUUUGAAUUUUUUUUAACAUAAUUAUGUGCUGCUUGUCGAUCAGACAACAUUUCUUUGUUUGUUCUUGCUGUCAAUUGUGGAAAAAAAUGAUCGAUAAAAGUGUCAUGAUAAAGCGCUGCGAGUUUAACUGCAGGCGCUGUGUCAUGCUCAUGCAUGCGAACGGGAGUGAGAUUUGUCCGGGAGUCAGAUUUUGAUACAGCACACCACCUCUUGCGGGUGGGCCCACACGAUUUGUGCUAUGCACUGGUCACUACUAACUGAAUGGAGCAGCGCACAGUUAUAUUUUGUUGUAUAAGUUGCAUAUAAAAGUUGCUUUUCAAAACCGCCCAAAUUAUGUCAACCCACCUAUGCUAUUUUUUACACGCACCGGCCAAUCUGGCAACACUGAAUGUAACUGCACGUCGCGACGAUGCAUAGCGGAAGCUCUAUGAUUUGGUCAGCUUGGUAACGUUGAUGAGUGUGGACGGCAGUGAGUGGGCAAAAAAUAAAUAAAAGAAUCAUUCAAUAAUCAUUUUAAGAGUUAAAAUGUUCAGUUAAUCGAAAUUUAGAUUUUAGGCCAAAUCGCCCAGCCCUAAUGAAAUAGUUUGACAACGAGCAGGAAAUGUUCAUGGGCCAAUAACAUGACCACAUUGAAAUGGUCUCAAACAGCUGUCCAAACUCCAUCCUGGAGGGCUGGUGUCCUGCAUAUUUUAGUUCCAACCCCAAUUAAACACACCUGAACAAGCUAAUCAAGCUCUUUCUAUGUAUACAAGAAUCAUCAAGGAAGGUGUGUUAAAAGAGGUUGGAGCUAAACUAUGCAGGACAGCGGCCCUCUGGGACAGAGUUUGGACACCCCUGAUCUAUAACUACUAAUGAACAGUUAACAUCUCUAUAGUUGGUAGGUAAUAAGCCAGUAGUUCAUUGAUUGAGUGGUGACCCAAACCAAAGUGUUACCAAGUAAAUGUUAUUCACGAAGUAUAUAAGAAACAGCUCUUCUAAAAGGGGUACAGACAAGUGUAUUCACUGUUGUCUUAUUCCAAGUUUCACAUUUUUCAUUGUGACGAAUGAUUGGUGAUAAUAGAAAAGAACAGUUCACCCAGAAAUGAGAUCUCUCUUUUUUUAUUUGGUUUAACUGUUUCUUUAAGUAGCCAAUGCAUGGAAAGCUCCAAAUCGUUAGCCAUAGAAAAAAAAAAAUGAAAGCUUCUGUGUAUUAUUAUGCUGUGUCACCAGGGUUUUCCUGCAAAGUUUCCUGUUAAGACUGUGCCAAGGUACUUUCCAGAGCUCAAGGCCUGAGCAAAUUAAAAAAAGGAAAACGAGUGGACUUGAGGGGAAAAAAGGAAGGAACAUUGCUGAACUCCUUGUCCAGUUUAUAUUAUCUAGAUAUCAGAUAAUGAGGAUUAGAGGCUGUUGUGUUAGAUUGAAGCAGCCGCCCCUUUAGGACUUUAAGAGAUGGACUGCUGGCGUCCUCUGCUGUUUGAGUCUGGGUACUGCACUUAAAAUGUUUUCCCUAGGUCAAUCUAAAUUUUUUAUUUGGUGCAAAAUAAUCACUCGAAAUGCACUUUUAUCAUCUAAUAUAUAUACACUUUCAGACCCUAAUAACACAGAACUUUUUUCAAAGUAGAAUUUUGCACUUGAUGUACAUAUGCAAAUGAUUUCUACUAUUUACUUUGCGAAAGAUAUGUGAAUAAUGCCCUUUAAAUUUCUCCCUUUUUUAAUCUUUUGGUUUACUUUUCUAUUUUAGUGUGUUUGUAUAUAAGAGUGAGUUUGUGUUGGAAAAAAAAUUGUAGGAAAAAAAAAAAAACCCUUGAGUUAUCAUUCCAGCAGUUCUUUUGACUGGGUCCAUUUUAUUGGGCUGCUGUCAUUUUACGGUUGAGCUGAAAUGUAAACAUUUUGUUAAACUAUAAACAUCUAUAUUUUGAAGAAAACGAUUUUAGAAAUUUGCAAGUGAGUGGACUUUUGUGAAAAACUUGGAAGAAAAUUAUAAAAAUGUAAAUAACAGGAUACAAAAUACAGAUUGCAUUUUAUCUGUAGAAUGAAAAAAAAGAUUUGCAAUCUGAACAACUGUUGCAAAACCAGCUGUUGUAAAAUAUAGAUAUAGAAUUUAUUUUGUUUAUAAAAGUGUAUAAUUUAAAGGUGUACAUGUUUUUCCCUGUAUGUUGCAUUUUUCCAAGCAAGUUUUGUGGUUUGUUUUUGAAGCAUAAAUAAAAAUGUUAUGUUUACUUC